rnacentral:rRNA from 1 species
AGACGUAGGGGGCGAGCGUUAUCCGGAUUCACUGGGCGUAAAGGGCGCGCAGGCGGUUACGUAAGUCCGGCGUGAAAUCCCACGGCUCAACUGUGGAACUGCGUCGGAUACUGCGUUGACUUGAGGAUGGUAGAGGCCAUUAGAACUAGCGGUGUAGCGGUGAAAUGCGCAGAUAUCGCUAGGAAUGCCGGUGGCGAAGGCGGAUGGCUGGGCCACUCCUGACGCUGAGGCGCGAAAGCUAGGGGAGCGAACCG